UACGUAGGGUGCGAGCGUUAAUCGGAAUUACUGGGCGUAAAGCGCGCGCAGGCGGCCUUUUAAGUCUGCUGGUGAAAUGCCGGGGCUCAACCCCGUGCCCGCCACAGAUACUGGGAGGCUGGAGACGAGUAGAGGCAAGCGGAAUUCCGGGUGUAGCGGUGGAAUGCGUAGAGAUCCGGAAGAACACCGGAGGCGAAGGCGGCUUGCUGGGCUUGGUCUGACGCUGAGGAGCGAAAGCGUGGGGAGCAAACAGG
rnacentral:rRNA from 1 species